UUUGUCGCGUCUGCUGUGAAAUCCCGAGGCUCAACCUCGGGCCUGCAGUGGGNACGGGCAGACUAGAGUGCGGUAGGGGAGAUUGGAAUUCCUGGUGUAGCGGUGGAAUGCGCAGAUAUCAGGAGGAACACCGAUGGCGAAGGCAGAUCUCUGGGCCGUAACUGACGCUGAGGAGCGAAAGGGUGGGGAGCAAACAGGCUUAGAUACCCUGGUAGUCCACCCCGUAAACGUUGGGAACUAGUUGUGGGGACCAUUCCACGGUUUCCGUGACGCAGCUAACGCAUUAAGUUCCCCGCCUGGGGAGUACGGCCGCAAGGCUAAAACUCAAAGGAAUUGACGGGGACCCGCACAAGCGGCGGAGCAUGCGGAUUAAUUCGAUGCAACGCGAAGAACCUUACCAAGGCUUGACAUAUACGAGAACGGGCCAGAAAUGGUCAACUCUUUGGACACUCGUAAACAGGUGGUGCAUGGUUGUCGUCAGCUCGUGUCGUGAGAUGUUGGGUUAAGUCCCGCAACGAGCGCAACCCUCGUUCUAUGUUGCCAGCACGUAAUGGUGGGAACUCAUGGGAUACUGCCGGGGUCAACUCGGAGGAAGGUGGGGAUGACGUCAAAUCAUCAUGCCCCUUAUGUCUUGGGCUUCACGCAUGCUACAAUGGCCGGUACAAAGGGCUGCAAUACCGUGAGGUGGAGCGAAUCCCAAAAAGCCGGUCCCAGUUCGGAUUGAGGUYUGCAACUCGACCUCAUGAAGUCGGAGUCGCUAGUAAUCGCAGAUCAGCAACGCUGCGGUGAAUACGUUCCCGGGUCUUGUACACACCGCCCGUCAAGUCAUGAAAGUCGGUAACACCUGAAGCCGGGGCCCAACCCUUGUGAGGGAGCCUCGAA
rnacentral:rRNA from 1 species